GGUGGCUCAGUGGUAGAGCUCUUACCUUGCAUGCAUGAGGCCCUGGGUUCGAUUCCUCAGCACCA
rfam:Dipodomys ordii contig_34999, whole genome shotgun sequence.